rnacentral:rRNA from 1 species
CCUACGUGAGGCAGCAGUGAGGAAUAUUGGUCAAUGGGCGCAAGCCUGAACCAGCCAAGUCGCGUGAGGGAUGACGGUCCUAUGGAUUGUAAACCUCUUUUGUCGGGGAGCAAGGCCCGCCACGUGUGGCGGGAAGGAGAGUACCCAAAGAAAAAGCAACGGCUAACUCCGUGCCAGCAGCCGCGGUAAUCAUGAGGAUGCGAGCGUUAUCCGGAGUCAUUGGGGUUACAGGGUGCGCAGGCGGCCCUUUAAGCCGGCGGUGAAAUCGCGGGGAUCAACCCCGCCGUGCCGUCGGAACUGGGGGCCUUGAGUUCGGCGGAGGCAUGCGGAAUGCGCGGUGUAGCGGUGAAAUGCAUAGAGAUCGCGCAGAACCCCGAUUGCGAAGGCAGCGUGCCGUGCCGCCACUGACGCUGAGGCACGAAAGCGCGGGGAUCGAACAGGAUUAGAUACCCCAGUAGUC